rnacentral:tRNA from 1 species
GCAACUUAAGGGAAAAUAUGCCCUCCGAAGGCAGAGGUCACAGGUUCGAAUCCUGUCGGGUGCGCCA